UGGAUUUCGAAAAAAAAUUGCAGGAAGACAAAAAGUUUUUGAAUAUGUUUGGAAAGGAGCUGUUAACGGUUGCCAAAACUCCAAAUUUUACAAAAAACUGUUGGCGAAAGCUACUAGUAGACGAACUGGCGCAAAAGAUGUGUUGGAAGGGGACAGAGGAGAAAAAAAGUGUACGCAGCCUCAGUUCAGCAAAAGCAAUAAGAAAUGCAGCAAUUUCUAUUGGAUUGAGCGAGGAUGAAUAUAUAAAAAGCACAAAAUCUUUUUUCCAGUUCGCGAAAAAUAGGCAAGAAUCAAAACAAAAAUAUACUCCAAAGACAAAAAACAAA